rnacentral:rRNA from 1 species
AUUGAACGCUGGCGGCAGGCCUAACACAUGCAAGUCGAACGAGUGUCGGACGGGUGAGUAAUUUCUGGGAAACUGCCUGAUGGAGGGGGAUAACUACUGGAAACGGUAGCUAAUACCGCAUCCCGUCGGAUGUGCCCCGAUGGGAUUGGCGCGUAGGUGGGGUAAAGGCUCACCUAGGCGACGAACCCUAGCUGGGCUGAGAGGAUGACCAUCCACACUGGAACGAAGACACGGGCCAGACUCCUACGGGAGGCAGCAGUGGGGAAGAUUGCACAAUGGGCGCAAGCCGGAUGCAGCCAUGCCGCGUGUAUGAAGAAGGCCUUCGGAUUGUAAAGCACUUUAAGUGGGGAGGCGUUACCAACAGAAUAAGCACCGGCUAACUUCGUGCCAGCAGCCGCGGUAAUUC